UACGAACCGUGCAAGCGUUAUUCGGAAUCACUGGGCAUAAAGGGCGCGUAGGCGGCUUUCUAAGUCAGGGGUGAAAUCCGGCAGCUCAACUGUCGCAGUGCCUUUGAUACUGGAGAGCUCGAGGGAGGUAGGGGUCUGUGGAACUUCCGGUGGAGCGGUGAAAUGCGUUGAUAUCGGAAGGAACGCCGGUGGCGAAAGCGACGGACUGGAUCUCUUCUGACGCUGAGGCGCGAAAGCCAGGGGAGCAAACGGG
rnacentral:rRNA from 1 species